rnacentral:lncRNA from 1 species
GGGCCAGAGGACAGAGGGGAAUAUCCUAGGUCUAUGAAAUGCCUUGGAAAGGAAUGAAAAGGGGAGGGUACUUAUCAAAAUCAUGGGUUAAAGGCACAGGGGGGCUGUAGUGUGAAGACUCAGAAAGAUUCCAGUUUUCAGGAGGUGAAAGACCCUAAACGCUUAGUGGCUCUGAGCAGACCACCAAGGACAAGGCAGGGUUUCCCCUCCAAGUCCACAGCGGUGAGUUGGUUGGGUUCCCCUGGAAGCCUCAGUGCCUGCAGAGAACAUCCCAUCUCCACCAGAAAGCAGAGGGGAGGCAGGGCGCCAAUCCUUUAGUUACCUUCAUUUUAGGCCACGUUGGGGUGGGGGGGGCAGGCAUGCGGGAGACUCGUACCCCUGGCUCAUCCAACCCCAAGAGCCCCCAUGGACAGUAACGUCUCUGCCUCCCCAGGCCUGGCACCCAAGAGUCACUUCACAGCGCUUGACAAAUGAAAAAAGAAAUGCAGGAGGAGAUGAUAAAUGAAGAAGAAAUGCAGGUCUGGAAGCGGGGUGGGGGGGUAUGGCAAGGAGCGGCACCUCCAUCCUCUGGCAGAAGGUGAGACCCAAUGAUUCCUGUUUCUGAAAGAGAAACUAAGGCAGCAAGCAGUAGGCACUUUGUGCCAGAUGAGAAGUCCUGAAAUGAAACUGGGCAGCCAACCCCCCAGCCCCAAGCCCGGGCUGCCAGCCCCCCUGCCCAGCCAGCCGUUCUGCAAGAUGUAAAGUGCUAUCUAAACGUGAUGCAUUAUUAACACUUUAGAAAUCAUAUUUCACAGCCGCCUGGCUGAAGCUGGGAAAUGAAUUCUUCCUCCUGCUCUCCGGCAGGGGAAUGAUUGUUGGAGCCAAACGUGACAGCAGUGACAUGUGACCGGGGGCUAAGAGAGGGCAGUUGAGGGUGGAGGCCACGGGCACCCACCCUGGGCAGGUUCCUCCUCUGCCUGGGGCCCUGAAUCCAACACUCUGGCCCCACCCAGGGGGUCAGCAAAGCUGACCCCCGCCUCUCCCACUUCGAGGUGAUUAACCUUCAGGAGCCCCUGGCAAAAGGCAGAUAGAGCCUGUGACCCAGCCCUUCACCCCAGGACGCUGCUGAGCAUCUGAGGAGUUUAGAGGGUGCACUGCUCUAGUCGGAAGGGCAAGGCAAGUUCUCCGGUUGGGUACACAAGGGCAGAUCUCAAAGACCCCAUUGCAGAGGCUUUAGAGAAGAGGAUGGCACAGAGCAGACUGGGGACGGGGUGCGAUGAGCAGCUGGGGACACGCGUCCUGGGUGGGGUGCCUGGCCUCUAGCAGCAGGUGGGAAAGAGAAAAAAUAGGGAGAGGUUGUAGCCCAAGUUAAAGGAGUGGAUGGGGGUGGGAGUAGGGGGCGUGUGUCCUCGCAGAAGGGAGGAAGCAGGCGGUGAGCUGCAUCCUGUCCUCACUGGAGAACCACCAGCCAUGAAAUGGGGAGGGAGGAGGGAGUGAGGGUGAGUGCUGCCUGCAAAGACCACUGCCUACUUGUCAGUAAGAAACCAGAGGACCUCGCAUGGUGGAUGCGAAAGAGGAGACGCUGCCAAAGCCAUCUGCAUCCCAGGACGCAGCCCGGUUUUCCUUGAGGGUGCCGGGCUCCUGUCUGGGGGCUCCGUUGGCAAUGCAGGCAGCUUGUAAUUAGGCAGAGGGAACAGACGAGCCAGUUUUUCAAUUAAAACCUUAUCUACAGGGUGCAUAGAUAUAAAGGCGGGUGGGGUUUGAUUUUUUUCUGAGCCAGCCUUCAAUAUUUGCAGUGCCUGGAAGGAGACUAAGGGAGGGCGCCCAGGCAGCCCUGGCGACAUAUAAAUUCUGCUCAUAAUUACAUGACUUUCAACACCAGGAGAUGCCAAUAAAGUACUUGCAGGGCACACAAAUGAAUGGCAUGUUGGCAUUCCCCAGACGGUGCUUGGACAGCCGGGGCACAGGGAGGGGCUGCAGCUUCUGCCUAUGAGGUUGGAGGAGCUGCAGUUGCUGAUACAGACGCCUCCUCACUCUUCAUCAAAGACAGCCGCUCUUCAGGUCCCCCAGACCUGUCAGUUUCACUCUCUUGGACCCCAGGCUCUGUUAGGGUGGCAAAGUCAGGGACUUCAGUUGUGUUCCUUCCAGAAGGAAGCGGAAGAGGGCCUGAGGGGAGCAAGGCGAUUGGGGCC